rnacentral:misc_RNA from 1 species
UCCGGUUUGACACCGGCAGUCCCGCUAGAGUGCGUUACCCGAAGGUAACUAGCAACUAGAGGCAGGGGUUUCGCUCGUUAGAGGACUUAACCCGACACUUCACAGCACGAGCUGACGACAGCCAUGCAGCACCUGUGCACGUUCCAUCUUGCGAUGUCAGCUCCCUUUCAGGAGCCUAAUCCGUGCAUGUCAAGCCUUGGAUAAGGUUCUUCGCGUUGCUUCGAAUUGAGCCGCAUGCUCCACCGCUUGUGUGAGCCCCCGUCAAUUCCUUUGAGUUUUAGCCUUGCGACCGUACUCCCCAGGCACCUAGUGCCCAUCGUUUACGGCGUGGACUAC